GUAUGAUGCUUUCCAAAUCGCUUAUAAUUAACUUUCAUCUUCGUUGUUUCCUAUUUGCAAGGUUCAUUUCUUUUCUUUCUCCAACCCCGAAAGAGAAAGAUAGAAAUGGGUUUGCCUUCUCUAAAGCCAUGCCUUCUUUUGAUCUUCCUUUUUCUUCUCAAUGUCUCCACCAUUAACUCGAAGCGAUCAAAAGUAGAACCUGUGCUUUUUGGCGGGAAUUUUCAGGCUUUGUAUGUUAUAGGAGAUUCAUUGGUUGAUUCAGGGAACAAUAACAAUCUUAACACGUCUGUCAAAGCGAAUUUUGCUCCUUAUGGUUCUGACUUUGAAGGAGGCAAACCCACCGGCCGUUUUAGCAAUGGCAAAACAAUUGCUGAUUACAUUGCUAUUUAUUAUGGGCUUCCUUUGGCUCCUGCUUAUAUGGGAUUAUCAGAAGAACAAAAGAACAAUAUCUCAACUGGUAUUAAUUAUGCUUCUGCUAGCUGUGGGAUUUUUCCUGAUACAGGAACGCGACUGGGCAAAUGUCUUUCGUUGAGUGACCAAGUUGAUCUAUUCGAAAAGACCAUCGACAAUAAUCUGAAGAAAAAGUUUAAGACGCAGUCAGAGCUCACUAAACACUUGGCUGGAUCGUUGUUCAUGACCGCGAUUGGAGUUAACGAUUACGCUUUCUACUUUAAAGAGACAACCGAUCCAAAUGAAUUCGCAGAAAAACUUCUUCAUGAUUUCUUGAUGCAAAUUAAGAGAUUGCAUGAGUUAGGAGCAAGGAAGUUCUUCAUAAACAAUCUUAAACCAUUAGGAUGUUACCCAAAUUACAUAGUAGCUAACACCGUACCACGUGGAAGCUGCAGCAAGUAUUUAAACCAAGGGUUGCCAAAUACAACGCCAAGCUAAGGAAAAGCCUGACUCAUUUGAAAAAAAAAUUCUCCGAAGCUUCUUUCUUAUACUCAGAUUACUUCAACUUCAUGUUGGGACUUCGCGGACCUUUGACCAAUCAAGUUAGUUCGAAUCUGAUAAACUCGAUAAGCCCAUGUUGCCCUAGCGUUUAUGAUGGAGAUAAACGCACGAGUUGCCCGCCAGGAUCAAGCUCGUGUAAGGUGCCAGAUACACAUAUUUUCUUUGAUCCAUUUCAUCCGACUGAAUUGGCGAAUUUCAUGUACUCAAUUGGAUGUUUCCAGCAGAGAAAAGUUUGCGAAGUUGUGUGAGUAAAUAAAUUAACUUUACUCAGCGACAAUCUUAAAAAAUCACAACUUUACUUGUUGCUGCCGUUGUUUAUUUUCCUCUCAUGAUCAAUAUGUGUUUCGAAACAUUUGUGUACCUAACCUCAACGUUUUCGCAUAUUCGAUUCAGUGUAAUUACUUUAUCACUGAUUUCUCAAUGGUGAUUGUGUCAAUCUAUACUAAUAAAAGAGACCUUUUGAGGCAACAUAGAGC